UACGUAGGGGGCAAGCGUUAUCCGGAAUUACUGGGUGUAAAGGGAGCGUAGACGGUGAUGUAAGUCUGGAGUGAAAGGCGGGGGCCCAACCCCCGGACUGCUCUGGAAACUAUAUGACUGGAGUGCAGGAGAGGUGAGCGGAAUUCCUAGUGUAGCGGUGAAAUGCGUAGAUAUUAGGAGGAACACCAGUGGCGAAGGCGGCCGCCUGGCCUGUUACUGACGCUGAGGCACGAAAGCGUGGGGAGCAAAUAGG
rnacentral:rRNA from 1 species